rnacentral:lncRNA from 1 species
CCAUUAGCUCUUAAUGCUCUGUUAAUGUGUUGUUAUUUACUAGUUUUAUCACUUUGAUCUGAGCAUUAACGAUCGUACAACUGACCACUCAUGUUGAAUAGUUAGAACUGAAGUAUAAAUAUCGGUCUGCAUGUGUGGGUAAGCGAUAUAUGGUGGGUCUAAGUCAGCCAUCUUCGUUUAAGGUGUAUCAAGGUGCCUAGGAAUGGGACCUGAUCUUCUUGUUCUAGUGCAAACGUAAACUUGAUGUUCGGGUCGAUGCUAUUAAUUUAGAUGUAAAGAUGCGAUGUUGUACUCAUGUAUAACCACGAAGAUAUCGUCAACGUACCGAAACCAAACAGACGGAGGGUACGGUGCUGAAGGGAGUGCCUUGACCUCAAACUUUUCCAUAUACAGAUUUGCGAUAAUUGGGGACACUGUGAAACUGCCAGAUCACGGGAAUCAAGAUUUUCUGAAUAAUUAUGUGAAGACUAGAGGUAAAACACUUAGGCUACUGCUGUAGGAGAACUCAUCAAAUUGGCAAACCAUAGAAUUACUCAGAACAACAUCUCAGUUAUUCACCGAGAAGAAAGGUAUUGGUCAAGGAAAAUAAGAGAAUCUAUGGAAAUUCGGACCAGGCACCCCACCCUCAAUCGUGACCGUGAAUACGAGCUACCGGCAGUACUGAAUGAGAUGUUUUCACAUGAUCAUUCAAAUUCCAUUGCAUGCUUGAAUGAUCAAGUGGAUCUGUGUAAAUACAUCAGUUUCCCUCAAGAAGUUGCUGAGACAGUAACGAAAGCUUGGAAAUCGCAACGAGGCAAUUGUUGUAUUGACCAUAAUUGGAACUAUAGCCUCCGUUUUAUUACUUACCUUAAUAAUCACCGGAAUAAUGUGUUUCAUACAUCGAAAAAAUCAUGGUCACCAUGAAGUUCCAUACGGUAUCGGGCAGUAUGGUGGUGGCAAAGUUGUACGAAACUUUCACAGUUAUGGAUUUGGUGAUUCAGAUACUAUGACAUCAGACGAUAGUUUAAUGUAUCAAGUGACUAACGCAUUAAGAAUUGCAAACUUACAAGAAAGUGAAGUAGGUAGCAGCGCCGACGAAUUCAUUAGACCAUACGUGGCGGACGGAAGAGAAGAAAUGCGGGUGUACGGUAUCGAUGGAUUCUAUCGUGAGAAUUACACAGAAUCAGAUUAAAGAUGUAGAAGUUCAUGGAGAAAAACACCGAAACGUAACGGCAUACUGACAACGAAAGAGUAAAUACAUAUUAUAGCGAUUUGGGAUUAUUAAUUUUCGCGCAGGUAAAGGGGCUAAUGUAGACAUAUUAUUGAUGUACCAUUAAACUGUAAUUGUGACGUAGCGUGAAAUAGUUAUUAAUGUAGGCAAUUUUAUAUACAGUACUGUACUUGGAUACCCAUUUAUAUUGUAGCCUAUGUUUUGUAGUGUACAGUAAUUUGGCAGACUUGAUUGUCUUACUUUGAUUACAAUUUCACCUGUUUUUUAAUGUUUUUAAUAUAUUUACAUGUCACCUGUAUUGAUGGUGAAGGAUAUGGUUGAGCAUAAUUUAUAGAUAAGAAUAAGAAAAGCUAGUAGCUUGUUGGGAGUGUAAGGGGUUGUUAGAAAUUGUUUACAGAUGAGUUUUGCUUACAAUACUUGUGAAAUAUCGCGAGGACUUUUUCUACAUAGUCUUGUAGUACUGAGCACGCAUCUAUAGAGAAAGAAAUCAGCGCACAGCGCUCACAAUAGA